AAAGCAAUGCAAACUAGGCUAUUCUAUAAUAUACUGUAUUCUGUAGACAGGUGACAUGUGUCAGGACUGCACUCAGAUUUUUGAGCUUCUGAAGGACCUCUUUUCCAAUGGGGACUUCCAGGCCAAAUUAGCUGCCUCUCUUGAGCAAGUGUGUGAUAAGUUGCCUGCCCAAAUCACUCAAAUCUGCCGCACUGAGGUGGAAAAGAUGCUUCCUUUGGCCAUCACCUUCAUUACCAGCAUGAUGCAACCCGGUGACAUCUGUACAUUUCUUGGAUUGUGUGGAGGACGUGACAGUGCCAAGAUUAGAGAUCUGUUGCUUAAUCACAUGUCAAAAACUGUACCAGUGCCAAC
rnacentral:lncRNA from 1 species